rnacentral:rRNA from 1 species
UACGUAGGGCGCAAGCGUUGUCCGGAAUUAUUGGGCGUAAAGAGCUCGUAGGCGGUCUGUCGCGUCGGAUGUGAAAGCCCGGGGCUUAACCCCGGGUCUGCAUUCGAUACGGGCAGACUAGAGUGUGGUAGGGGAGAUCGGAAUUCCUGGUGUAGCGGUGAAAUGCGCAGAUAUCAGGAGGAACACCGGUGGCGAAGGCGGAUCUCUGGGCCAUUACUGACACUGAGAAGCGAAAGCAUGGGGAGCGAACAGG